UUACCCACUCCCGGCACGGGGAGGUAGUGACGAAAAAUAACGAUACGGGACUCAUCCGAGGCCCCGUAAUCGGAAUGAGUACACUUUAAAUCCUUUAACGAUUAACAAUUGGAGGGAAAGCCUGGUGCCAGCAGCCGCGGUAAUUCCAGCUCCAAUAGCGUAUAUUAAAGUUGUUGCGGUUAAAAAGCUCGUAGUUGAAUCUGUGUCCCACACUGUCGGUUCACCGCUCGCGGUGUUCAACUGGCAUGUUCGUGGGACGUCCUACCGGUGGGCGCAGCCCGUCAAAAGGCGGCCCAACUCAAAAUCCUACCACGGUGCUCUUCACCGAGUGUCGAGGUGGGCCGGUACGUUUACUUUGAACAAAUUAGAGUGCUUAAAGCAGGCUCAUUUGCCUGAAUAUUGUGUGCAUGGAAUAAUGGAAUAGGACCUCGGUUCUAUUUUGUUGGUUUUCGGAACUCCGAGGUAAUGAUUAAUAGGGACAACUGGGGGCAUUCGUAUUGCGACGUUAGAGGUGAAAUUCUUGGAUCGUCGCAAGACGGACAGAAGCGAAAGAAAUGUGUUUUCAUCAAUCAAGAACGAAAGUUAGAGGUUCGAAGGCGAUCAGAUACCGCCCUAGUUCUAACCAUAAACGAUGCCAGCUAGCGAUCCGCCGAAGUUCCUCCGAUGACUCGGCGGGCAGCUUCCGGGAAACCAAAGCUUUUGGGUUCCGGGGGAAGUAUGGUUGCAAAGCUGAAACUUAAAGGAAUUGACGGAAGGGCACCACCAGGAGUGGAGCCUGCGGCUUAAUUUGACUCAACACGGGGAACCUCACCAGGCCCAGACACCGGAAGGAUUGACAGAUUGAGAGCUCUUUCUUGAUUCGGUGGGAGGUGGUGCAUGGCCGUUCUUAGUUGGUGGAGCGAUUUGUCUAGUUAAUUCUGAUAACGAACGAGACUCUAGCCUGCUAAAUAGGCGUACUUUCCGGUAUCUCGAAGGCCCUCCGGUCGGCUUCGGUCCGGUGUGGUUUUUACUACCGGCGUACACAUAUAUCUUCUUAGAGGGACAGGUGGCAUUUAGUCGCACGAGAUUGAGCAAUAACAGGUCUGUGAUGCCCUUAGAUGUUCUGGGCCGCACGCGCGCUACACUGAAGGGAUCAGCAGGUUUUCCUUGGCCGAAAGGUCCGGGUAAUCCGUUGAAGCCCCUUCGUGCUAGGGAUUGGGGCUUGCAAUUCUUCCCCAUGAACGAGGAAUUCCCAGUAAGCGCGAGUCAUUAGCUUGCGUUGAUUACGUCCCUGCCCUUUGUACACACCGCCCGUCGCUACUACCGAUUGAGUGAUUUAUUGAGGUCUUCGGACCGGUGCGCGGCAUUGCCGAUGUUGCUGGGAAGAUGACCAAAAUUGAUUACUGGAA
rnacentral:rRNA from 1 species